UUAUAACCAAAAUGUACAUUAGAAAGAGGAGGAUGGGGAGAGGGAGGAGGAAGACUGGAGGAUUCAUUUAUACUUGAGAUGGUUCCACAUGCUGUUGGCUGAGAGUCUGCUUCUGCUUUGAUUUAUCCCAAAGUUUGGCUCUCUACCUUUGACGUGCCUUUUGUACAUAGCUGUUAGUUUUACAAUAGAUGAUGUGGUGUCCGAGGUUGUAACUUGCUUCUUGCGCGGAUUUCAUGUUGAGAGUCAUGCCAUCUCCUGUCACAUACAUUUUGAGGUACCUACCAUCUGAAGAGGAUGGAUGACUGUUAAUUUCAGUUGACUUUACCAGUUUAACUUCUAUCCCAAAUUGCUUUGUAUGGUUUAUAAGAGUAGCUUGCUGGCAACUGUUUGCAUGGAC
rnacentral:sRNA from 1 species